rnacentral:lncRNA from 1 species
AGAACAACCAGCUGGAUCAAUUCUCAUAGGAGCCACAGCGCGGAGACUGUGUAUGCGCAGACACCAGCAAACAUGUUCUAUAUAGUUGCAUGUGACAACAGGGAUCAACGACGGGACCCUCCACAGUAUCCAGUGGUUCCAGUUCACCUGGAUACCAUCAUCUAAGCUCCUGUAUCAGCACUCCUCGUCAUCACUCAUCUGCCAAGCUCCUCAAUCAUAGCCAAGAUCCCAUCCCUCCAUGUACUCUGGGUGUCAGCAUCUGUCCUCUUCAGUCUCUAUACCCCUUCCACUUGCCUGAGCUGAAGUGCCUUGUGAAGCCUGCAAUAAACUGCUUUGCAAAUUC